ACAAACCGGAGGAAGGUGGGGAGUGACGUCAAGUCAUCAUGGCCCUUACGGCCAGGGCUACACACGUGCUACAAUGGUCGGUACAAAGGGUUGCCAAGCCGCGAGGGUGGAGCUAAUCCCAAUAAAACCGAUCGUAGUCCGGAUCGCAGUCUGCAACUCGACUGCGUGAAGUCGGAAUCGCUAGUAAUCGUGAAUCAGAAUGUCACGGUGAAUACGUUCCCGGGCCUU
rnacentral:rRNA from 1 species